UUACCAAACUGUUGCCUGCAGGCGGGCGGCAGCCCUCGCGCAGCCCCUGGGCCCCACCGCGGGCGCCCGCCGGAGGUACCCAAACUCUUGAUACAUUAUGGCCACUCUGAGUCUUCUGUACUGAAUAAGUCAAAACUUUCAACAACGGAUCUCUUGGUUCUGGCAUC
rnacentral:rRNA from 1 species